AGGUCAUAGGUUUAUUCUUAACAUAUAUUAUGAUAGCCUCGUUAUGUUAUGGAGAAGGUUUAACUAUGUACCUGUAACCGUUGCUGUUCUAUGAUAAACAUGGUUUCUUUUCCCACCAUUCAUGCAAUCAUUCUGAUGCAUGCAUAACAAUUGUAGGCACAACAAAGAAUUUUAGGAGCAACUCAUUUUGCUGGUGUCAUAUGUCUAUCUAAAGCUGUGUAGUGCUAUCCCAGCAGUGUAGCAUCUCCAACAAGCCAAUUCCCUGAUCUCAUUUAGCUUAAUACAUGUUCUUUUAUGCAUUUUGUGUAUGNNNNNNNNNNNNNNNNNNNNNNNNNNNNNNNNNNNNNNNNNUCGUAGAUUAGAUCGCAUUACAGACUGCAGAUCAAGUAGCUGACUGAACACAAAAAAAAAAUCUUGCUUGAUGACUGAACAAAAAAACUGGGGGCUUGUUCCACAUUGUUCAUGAUCAUUAGUCAUUUUCUUUUCUGAUGACAUUUUCUUUUUUUUUUGGUUACUGUUCAGGAAUUCUGAUUGCAGUGCGGAAGCAUGGUUUGCUCCUAAAUAAGGUCACAGGUCAUAGGUUUAUUCUUAAAAUAUGUUAUGAUACCUUCGUUAUGUUAUGGAGAAGGUUUAACUAUGUACCUGUAAACGAUGCUGUUCUAUGAUAAACAUGGUUUCUUUUCCUACCAUUUAUGCAAUCAUUCUGAUGCAUGCAUAACAAUUGUAGGCACAACAAAGAGUUUUAGGAGCAACUCAUUUUGCUGGUGUCAUAUGUCUAUCUAAAGCUGUGUAGUGCUAUCCCAGCAGUGUAGCAUCUCCAACAAGCCAAUUCCCUGAUCUCAUUUACCUUAAUACAUGUUCUUUUAUGCAUUUUGUGUAUUCAUACUAGUUUCUGACCCAUUAAGCAUGGCUCAAAAUCUAUAUGAAAGCAGCCUGCCCCUUGUGGAGCUGAUUAGAUCGCAUUACAGACUCCAGGUCAAGUAGCGGACUGAACAAAAAGAAAAA
rnacentral:lncRNA from 1 species